rnacentral:tRNA from 2 species
GCGGCCGUGGCUGACUGGUCACGGUGUUCGCUUUGUAAGCGAAUGAUCUUGGGUUCGAUUCCCAUCUGCUCCC